UUACGGCCACAUCACGUUGAAACAACGGUUCCCUUACGAUCACCGAAGUUGAGCAACGUUGAUCCGCGUCAGUACCCAGAUGGGUGACCGCUUGGGAAUAUUAGGUGCUGUAA